UAAUAGCUAGUUUAUAUAAAAUAAAUGAUUUCGACUCAUUAGAUUAUGAUUUGUUCAUAGCUAUUAA
rnacentral:tRNA from 1 species